AUGCCUCACAAUAAUGGCGGCUGGGUGGCUUUUCGCCCUGCUGACUGCUCUGAUGCCCAUUUUGGGAGUGAGCAGCUACAGAAAGACCAGCAUCUACCUGCCAAUGGAUGCAGAAACGGAGCUUUCACAAGAUUUACCGCAGAGUUCUCUUCGGGGCAAAACAGAGCCAUGGUGCCUUCGCCAAAGACUAGUGAUGGAAGAGCACUGAAUCAAGCUGAAAUAAGGAAAAACGUGGAAUCAGGAUACGAAAUUCUGGAAGAUUUCUAUGGCAAGAAAUAGGGUAAAGGCAUCUCAUAUUGAUUUUAUGUACUGACAGUGCUUGACCUCUCGGGUCAAAUGAUUCAGAUCUCUUUAGAAGUAGAUACUCCAUUCACAAGAUGCUGCUUGAUUUACCUUUAAUAAUUCCUGCUUGGAUGAGUGCACAAAAAUUUAGAUUAGGCGAUAUCUUUAGCAUGAAUAAUAGAUCUCUACAUCUUUCAACAAUCAUGCAGCAUUACAUAUUGUCAAAUUAGUUCAUACUUCUGAAGUGAAAAGCUUGUUAAAUUUAAAGGGAUUAUGCAUCCUAAAUUUCCAGAAUAAUGUUUUACAAAACUUGUUUUUCAUCUGCAAAGAGGAUGCUUUUAAGGCCCUUUAAGGCUUGCUAAUGCAAAAAAUAAAGAAAUAAUAAUAAAUAAAUUGUAAACCAUCAAGAGUGUGUUUUGUGUAUUUGUUCAUUUUAUAUAACCAAAAAUAAUAAUAUAAGUUAAAAAUAAUUACACUAUAUAAAAACCUCCAGUUCCAUUCAGAUGGUUUGGUUUUCUGUAUUAUUUUAGUUCUCAUGUUUGCUGAAACUGAAAAGACAUUUAUUGUCCUUGCCAUCGACCACUCUUAUCUUAAAUAUUUCAGUCCUUUAGCACUGGAAUGAUUUCUUCAAGGUCACUAUAACCUUGCAGACCAACUGCAGUAUAAGAGAGGAUGUCUGAGAGAGUAUGAGAUUAUUUUAAGUUGAUUUUAAGUUGGUACAACCAAUGAAUCCUUUACUGGACAUUCACACAGCAGAGUCUGCUUCUGCUUUACAUGAAAUGAGGCACAAUUUAAAACCCAAGUUAGUUCAUUCUGUCCCAAGUCUUAACUCUUUUCUUAUCUUUGCACCUGCAAUAAUGUUUAAGCUUUGAGACAGAGAGCUGUUGUUCUGCUACUUUUUUUUUUUUGGCAGCAAUGUUUGCCUCAGUGCUGGAGUGGAGCGAUGGGAGUGUGUGGAAGUUACAGCAGCUGUGCAACACGGCACCCUGAACUCAAACCUCAAAUGGGCUGAAAAAAAAAAUAAAAAAUAGGAAUCUGUUACGAAGAUAUGGCUCAAGUAUCAAGGCCAGUGCUGUAAGUCAAGGGAACAGUGGACAGCAAGAAAGCCACACACACUGAGAAAGCAGAGAGUAGUUACUGCAACCAUUAGAACUUUAAAAAUCUAUAUUAUUUACAAAAUCCUAUAUUUAAAAACCCAUGUCUGUGGGUCACUACUUUUUAAUUCCAACACCCACAGUGAGAACUAAGAUGAUUAUAUCAAUUCAGCAGCACUAUGAAUAUUUCUGUAUUUCUGUGAUCAUCAGUCUAUGGCUGCAACUGACCACUGGAUGGCGUUGUAAUCCAUCAAAAGCAUAAAGCAAGUCAUAAAACACUGCAUUUUGCAUGUUAUUUACUCUUAUUAUUGCUACAGAAUAUGGUAGUUAUACUGUGCACGGUAUGCAAAUAUUCUGUAUGCAUAGAUUACCCAAGAGGAACAAAGCUUAUGGAAGGACAUCCCACAAUGCAAUGCGCUUGACAUGACCUUCCUGUUACAGUGAGGAAUGAUCCUGAAAGAGCUGUGAUUAACACCUCUUUCUUGACUCACUGUUUGAUUGAACAAAUGUUUACAUUCUUAGACAAACUGGACAAAAAAAAUAAAAUAAAUUAUAAUAAUGCAAUUAAAGCAGUUUUCAUUUCUUAGAAUGAUGAAACUCAAUCUGAACUAAAUAUGCUAUUUAAUAGGGUAAUCUGACAGCAAUGUUGCAUAGUACUGUUUGAAACAUUAUCUCAAUCUUAUUUUCACUAUCCAUUUUUACAAAAAAUAGUAGUCAGCAUACAGUGUAUAUUUCCGCAGGAUUCAUUAGCAUAUGGAACAUAGCCUUAAGGCCUUUUCACACUAAGGAUGAUCACUGUAACGAUAACCAUGAAGUUUGAAUAAUCAUUCUCAUUCUAUGAGGAUAGGAAAGUUCACAACUGUUACAAUAACCAUACGACGAAGAGGAACGAUUUCAGUGGAAUUACUUUCAGAACGAUUAAAACAUUGACAGCGAAUCAUAAUCAACCAUGUCCUUUUACAAUGUUACAUAAUGUAAUAACUUAUAUAUAAUAAUGAAUAAUAAUAAUUUUUGUCCAUUAGUGUGGACGCUAAUAUGGUUAUCAUUCCAGUUGUGAACGUGCCUUUAAGCUGCUUUUAAACUAUUUUUGACGUUCAUAUGAAGGUUGCAUUUUACCCCCCAGUGAAUUGGUUAUGAAGCAGCCCUUCCAUGAUAAAAUAAAUGAAUGAUGAAUGUAUGAUUUUUGAACAGUUUUUCAUAACUGUCCAUUUUACAGAAACAAUGAUUAAAGAAUGAUUUAGUGUAAAAAAAAAUUAAAAGGUUAAUUGUUAUUUUGUUUUUAAAUAGUUAAAAAAAAUCCAUUUCAAAAUUUUGACAUUUAAAUAUUUUUAAAUAAAAGCUCCAUUAGAAAUGAAUGACUUCAUGUCUGUUUGUCAGAAAUAUUAAAAAUGUGGCUUUACAGUCUGACUGACUGAUGACAGUGAACUGAACAACAAACACUAAAUCAGUAAAAGAAAAAAAAAACUUUUUUAUUCUUUAAUACCAUAUAUAAUGCAACAAUUGCAUAUCUUUGGCAAAAAUAAACUUUAUAAACCUUUUAUUAACAGAGGUUAGCUUACAAAAUCAAAAAUCUGGUUCAGCUGCCACAUAAGGCAGAAGAACGUGACAAAAUUGACAGGGAAGUGGCAACUUAGUUAGUGGACCUUAUCUUAAUAUGAUAACAAUAAUAAUAGUAAUAUAAUAAUUCAUAGGCAGCUGUUUUCAGAAUUGGCCUCAAAUUCUAAAACUACUGCUUGGCUCCCCUCCCUGCAUUAAUACUUGCAUUCUGUAUUAGCACUAUGUACAGCUAGAAGGGGACGAAUUGGCAGCCAUGGUUAAAGUGACAGGGAAAGAGCUUCACAAGGAUAGGCAGUUUUAAAGUAAUCGACUCAAACAGAACGUUCUGGUUUGCCAGUGUAAAGGGGCAAGUGGCAGCUAUAGUUCACAAUUUCACAUGCUUGGGUAUAUAAAAUGCUAAUGUAGCCUCAAACAAACACUUAAAAACCCAAUCAUAAACAAACAAACUACUGGGAACACACAGCCAGGCAAGUUUUGUGAGCAGCAACUUUGGCGAUCUCAAAUGGGACAAAAAAAACUGGGUUAAACAUGGCUGGGAGUCCAGAGAGUUCUUAGUGGCACAGUUCUCAGUUCACAUCCAGUUGGCUCUCCCAUCACCGGCAAGCAAUAUACUGUCCACUCUCCCAUUUCACUUCCUGUGAUCCUUUCUCCCAUGGUCAGCAGUGUCCGUGAGCAGCGGCGAUGGGAGAAUGUCUUUGUCUCUGCUUGCAGGUGCAUUUAUUGUGCAGUUCACAUUGUCUCUGGUUUCUUCUGAACUCUCUGGAGGUCUGGAGCAGCACAGCACCAGCUCAAAAGCAGCAAUGGAAAGAAGUGGAGUUUCACAGAGCUCCCCCUGCUGGAGGCUUUGUCACACAGUUUUGAAACCAAGAAACAGAUGACAGGCCUGAUUUGGGUAGAAGUGACACUCACGCCAACAUAAAGUCAAGGAGCAGGAAAGGGAAAGAGUGGUUCAAAUCUUAUAGUAGAGGUAAAGAGGUUCUUGUUUUGAUUGGCUGCUAUUAAGUAUGCUCUGAAAGCAAGCAAUAUGCACACGGGCAAUGAUUUAAUCAAGUCACUGCAUGUGGAAUAGCACAAUACCUGAUUGCUAGCUUCUGAGAAACACUGAGGCUGAUGUGCAUGCAACAAAAAGCUGUUUCCUUCAAGGUGUUCUCCAGUCAUAGUGGUCAGGAUGGGGAAGCAAACCUGAUCCAAUCAGGAUGCACGGGAGGAGUCACAUGGUUUUGACAUCAUAACUGCGGCAGCAGAAGGCUCCCAGGGGUAUGCCGUCACCACCACACGAGAUAUAAACCAGAAGUACAAAAAUAAAAUAACUAAGAUAUUUAGGUCAACUAAUUAUUGCAUUUCUUCUUUUGUAUCAUGUUUAUAUUAUGAUCCAAAAUCAAUGGCACUUUCAUAUUUCUCUUUUUUCUUUUUUUUAAGCUUUUUCCCUCUAUAGUUAAGAAGUGCGAGAGAUCUUGGGAGCUUGUAAAAUCCAUGCAUUCAUUUUCCGUAUAAAUAAGUUUGUGUUGAUUUAGAGGUGGAAGCAUGCAAAUCUUGUUUGUAAGGUUUUUUUUGUUUGUUUUUUUUUAAACAAUUAACAUCUUCAAACUCUCAUACCAUUAAGCUCAAAUGAUGUGGGCUGUUCAUUCAAAUUGGUUUCUUUUUCUGUACAUAAAAUGUCAGUAUGGCUUUUCUCUCCUGUGUUUGUAUUGCCAUAUUUGAUGAGUGGACCGAGACGUCAUCCCAGUUAAAAAGACACAAGGAAAGAAAACACCCCAAUAAUUACAAACAAGAAGGAAGAUACACCAAACCAGAAGAGAGCGGUUGGCCAGGCCACAGG
rnacentral:lncRNA from 12 species